rnacentral:rRNA from 1 species
GACGAACGCUGGCGGCGUGCUUAACACAUGCAAGUCGAACGGAAAGGCCUGUCCUUCCUUGUGUUGGACGGGUACUCGAGUGGCGAACGGGUGAGUAACACGUGAGUGAUCUGCCCCCAACUUGUGUAUAAGCCUGGGAAACUGGGUCUAAUUCCCGAUAGGACUGCAGGGUGGUGCCGGUGGUGGAAAACGAUUUUCUAGUGGUUGGGGAUGAGCUCGCGGCCUAUCAGCUGGUUGGUGGGGUAAUGGCCUACCAAGGCGGCGACGGGUAGCCGGCCUGGGAUGGUCGACGGCAACAGUGGGACUGGGACACGGCCCCGACGCCAAGGGGAGGAAGCAGUUGGGAAGCAUGAGCGGUGAGCGUAAGCCAGAGGCAGCGAGGCUGAGUGGGGGAUGACGGGGUUGGGAUUGUAAACUCCUUGCGACAACGAGGAAGCGGCCUGGAUGGAGGGGUGGUGACGGUAGUGGUAGAAGAAGCACCGGCUAACUACGUG